rnacentral:sRNA from 1 species
AGAAAAGUAGGUGCCGCCCCGCACAGGGGCGACGCUAAUAGACCACCAAGAAAUCAAGGAAAGGCCAACGCCAUAGGCAAACAGACAGACACAGACAAUAAGCAUCACAUAGCUAAUCAAUC